CAGGAUGGACCCGCGUCUGAUUAGCUAGUUGGUAAGGUAACGGCUUACCAAGGCGACGAUCAGUAGCCGACCUGAGAGGGUGAUCGGCCACAUUGGAACUGAGACACGGUCCAAACUCCUACGGGAGGCAGCAGUGGGGAAUAUUGCACAAUGGGCGAAAGCCUGAUGCAGCAACGCCGCGUGAGUGAUGAAGGCCUUCGGGUCGUAAAACUCUGUCCUCAAGGAAGAUAAUGACGGUACUUGAGGAGGAAGCCCCGGCUAACUACGUGCCAGCAGCCGCGGUAAUACGUAGGGGGCUAGCGUUAUCCGGAUUUACUGGGCGUAAAGGGUGCGUAGGCGGUCUUUCAAGUCAGGAGUGAAAGGCUACGGCUCAACCGUAGUAAGCUCUUGAAACUGGGAGACUUGAGUGCAGGAGAGGAGAGUGGAAUUCCUAGUGUAGCGGUGAAAUGCGUAGAUAUUAGGAGGAACACCAGUUGCGAAGGCGGCUCUCUGGACUGUAACUGACGCUGAGGCACGAAAGCGUGGGGAGCAAACAGGAUUAGAUACCCUGGUAGUCCACGCUGUAAACGAUGAGUACUAGGUGUCGGGGGUUACCCCCUUCGGUGCCGCAG
rnacentral:rRNA from 1 species